GGAUAACAUAACAGAAGUCCUAAACACUUACUCACUUAGGUUUUCAAAGUAAAACUUCUGCACAGGAGGUCUCUGGCAAGCAAGAUGGUGACUUACUCAAAAUUAGAUUUUGUCCCCAAGCAAGUACAAUGCACACUUCAGUAUCAUUAGAGAUAUACCUUGUGGCACUAAGAGUGUCCAUACCCAUAUCAAUCAAAAUGGAAACAUUUGGUUCUAUCUUCUCUUAUGUAUCUGCCACAGAAAUAAUAAUUGCAUCUACAAAUGUAU